rnacentral:rRNA from 1 species
CAGCAGCCGCGGUAAUACGUAGGGUGCGAGCGUUAAUCGGAAUUACUGGGCGUGAAGCGUGCGCAGGCGGUUGUGUAAGACAGGUGUGAAAUCCCCGGGCUUAACCUGGGAACUGCGCUUGUGACUGCACAGCUAGAGUAUGGCAGAGGGGGGUGGAAUUCCACGUGUAGCAGUGAAAUGCGUAGAGAUGUGGAGGAAUACCGAUGGCGAAGGCAGCCCCCUGGGCCAAUACUGACGCUCAUGCACGAAAGCGUGGGGAGCAAACAGGAUUAGAUACCCGCGUAGUCCCUGUCUCUUAUAA